rnacentral:rRNA from 1 species
CCCYCCGCGCGCGGCGGGCGGGGCGKGGGCACGGGGGGGUGAAGAAGUAUUUCGGUAUGUAAAGCUCUAUCASCAGGGAASAAAAUGACGGUACCUGACUAAGAAGCUCCGGCUAAAUACGUGCCAGCASCCSCGGUAAUACGUAUGGYKCAAGCGUUAUCCKGAUUUWCUGGGUGUAAAGGGAGCGUARACGGUUUGCCAAGUCUGAUGUGAAAGGUGAGGGCUCAACCCUUAAACUGCAUUGGAAACUGGKASACUAGAGUGUCSGAKAGGUAWGUGGAAUUCCUAKUGUAGCGGUGAAAUGCGUASAUAUUAGGAGGAACACCAGCGGCGAAGGCGGCUUACUGGACGAUMWCUGACGUUGAGGCUCGAAAGCGUGGGGAGCAAACAGGAUUAKAUACCCUGGUAGUCCACGCCGUAAACRAUGAAUACUAGGUGUUGG